UAAUAGGUUACUUAGAGAGGAAAUGGAUUACAAUCUAGAGGAAUUAGAACAAGAGCAUUUGCAUUUGUUUAGGGGAUUGACUGAUGAACAAAGGAAAAUCUAUAAUGCUGUAUUGAUUUUCAUAUAUGAAAAAAAGGGGAUGUAAUAUUUGCUUAUGGACAUGGUGGAACGGGUAAAACUUACCUUUGGAAAACUAUUAUUUGCAAAUUACGUGCAGAAGG
rnacentral:lncRNA from 1 species